ACAGAGGGUGCGAGCGUUGUCCGGAAUCACUGGGCGUAAAGGGCGCGUAGGCGGCUUGAUAAGUAGGGGGUGAAAUCCUGUGGCUUAACUGCAGGGCUGCCUCCUAGACUGUCUGGCUUGAGCACGGUAGAGGCAGAUGGAAUUCCCGGUGUAGCGGUGGAAUGCGUAGAGAUCGGGAAGAACAUCGGUGGCGAAGGCGGUCUGCUGGGCCGUUGCUGACGCUGAGGCGCGACAGCGUGGGGAGCAAACAGGAUUAGAUACCCUGGUAGUCCACGCCGUAAACGAUGGACACUAGGCGUCGGGGGGAGCGACCCUCUCGGUGCCGUCGCUAACGCAGUAAGUGUCCCGCCUGGGGAGUACGGCCGCAAGGCUG
rnacentral:rRNA from 1 species